UUUGUGGUUUAGAAGUUAAGAUCAAAAGAUUAUUUGUGGAUAGUUGAGUAUUCUUUCAGAAUUUUUCAUCAAUAUGUUGUAUUUUUAAAUAAUUUUCUUUAAAACUGCUAUUUUUAGAAAGUUUUCAUUUUAUAUAGAAAUAUUGUAGAUUUGGGUUUGUGAUUUAGAAAUUAGGAUUACAAGAAUUUUUGUGGAUAGAUAAGUAUUCUUUCAGAGUUUUUCAUCAAUAGGUUGUAUUUUUAAAUAAUUUUCUUAAAAAUGGCUAUUUUUGGAAAGUGUUCAUUUUUUAGAGAAAUAUUGUAGAUUUGAGUUUGUGGUUUAGAAUUUAAGAUCAAAAGAUUAUUUGUGGAUAGUUGAGUAUUCUUUCAGAUUUUUUCAUCAAUAUGUUGUCUUUUUAAAUAAUUUUUUUAAAAACUGCUAUUUUUAGAAAGUUUUCAUUUUAUAGAGAAAUAUUGUAGAUUUGAGUUUGUUAUUUAGAAAUUUGAAUUACAAGAAUAUUUUUGGAUUGUUGAGUAUUCUUUCAGAGUUUUUCAUCAAUAGGUUGUAUUUUUAAAUAAUUUUCUUAAAAACUGCUAUUUUUGGAAAGUGUUUAUUUUUUAGAGAAAUAUUGUAGAUUUGAGUUUGUGGUUUAGAAGUUAAGAUCAAAAGAUUAUUUGUGGAUAGUUGAGUAUUCUUUCAGAUUUUUUCAUCAAUAUGUUGUAUUUUUAUUUUUUUUAGAGAAAUAUUUUAAAUUUGGGUUUACGGUAUAGAAAUUAAGAUAACAAGAAUAUUUUUGGAUAGUUGAGUAUUCUUUCAGAUUUUUUCAUCAAUAGGUUGUAUUUUGGGAAAUUUGACCCUAUAACCAAAAAAAAAACUAUAUUUCAUCAUCUAACCAUAUAACCCUCUCUCUCUCUUCAUUUCCCUUCCUAUCUCUCUCUACCUUCUUACUACAAAACUAAUAUUUUUCCCAUUAUAAUCAUCUAGCAAAUUAACCCUUGUAUUUUUAAAUAAUUUUCUUAAAAACUGAUAUUUUUGGGAAGUUUUCAUUUUUUUAGAGAAAUAUUGUAGAUUUGAGUUUGUGGUUUAAAUUUUAAGAUAAAAAGAUUAUUUGUUGAUAAUUGAGUAUUCUUUCAGAUUUUUUCAUCAAUAUGUUGUAUUUUAAAAUAAUUUUCUAAAAAACUGCUAUUUUUAGAAAGUCUUCAUUUUAUAUAGAAAUAUUGUAGAUUUGGGUUUGUGAUUUUGAAAUUAGGAUUACAAGAAUAUUUGUGGAUAGAUUGAUUAAAAAAAUCCCAAUAUCUAAUUAUCUGAUAUAAUAUUUUAAUUUUAUAUUAUUAUUAUUUUAAUAGUAUAUUAUUAUUAUUUUAAUAGUAUAUGUCAACUUUGUGUUAUUUUUAUAAAUUUAUUUUUAUGGAUCUGAAUAUAUGCAAAUAUUAUAGUGUUUAGGGAAAUAUCUGAAAUAUGUGGAUGUGAAAACCACACAUUCUAGUUCAGAUAAUUAAACUUGGAUUUAGAUAUCUAGAAUUAUUUUGGAUUAUAGAUCCAUCCCCUUCUACUAUACACUCUUACCUAAUUUUAAAUUUUAAAUUAUCAAACUUUAUUUAUUUAAUUAUUGUUUGAUUUUAUAUUAAUUUCAAAACAUACAAUUAUAAAAUUUUACUAAAAUAACAUGAUUUAGUACUUUUAAUAUUAAACUAUGCCCACAUAUAAUGGAAGAGACAACAAAUAUACUAGUUGAAAAUUAUAUUUUGACAAUUAUAAAAUAUAGAGUUUAAAAUAUUCUUUCAGACCACAUGUUAAAAUCCAAUUCCAUUAUCGUAUUUUACUAUAAAAAAUUGUUUUGGUACAAGAGAUUUUAAUAAAUUUAUUUUCUUGUCCAUUUAUGGUCAAAAUGUAUCCAUAAUUUAUUGCUUUUCUAAAAAAAAUUUACAAAUACUUACUUGGAAUAACAAAAAGCUAAAUUAAAUAUAUUGACGAAAAAUUUGUUUUCACAAUUGUGCACAAGAAACUUGAACAUGCUUCGAACUUCGCUACAACAUUCAAGAUUCAACUCCUGUAUAUGCAAAUAUCUUUUGACUUUCCUCCAACCCAUAAGCCACAUACAACUUAAUAUUUUACAUGCUCACGCUCACAUUCAGAUCGAACAAAAUACAUCAUCACAUUUAACUCAUUCAAGCCACCAACAAAGUUCUUCACUACCACAGCUUUAAGUGUCUUUCUUUGACAGUUACUUGAAGUGUGCAAAACAUGGCAUAUAAUUGUUUGAUAAAGACACUUAAAGUCGUGGUGGUUAUGGACUUUGUUGGUUGCCAGAACUGAGUUAAAUGUGUGAUGAGGUAUUUCAUUCUGUCCAAGAGUGAAUGUGAGCUGUUGUUAGAAAGUAUUUUAGUUUUACGUGGGUUGUAUGCGUUAGAGGAUCUACAAAGGAAAGGAAAGACAAACACAUGAAGACAUUUAUAAUUGGAAUACAAGAAAAACUAUAUGUAUACUAAUUUACAGUGGUCAGGGUUCUAAUCUUUUGUUGCUCGGUUUUUGGUUGUACAGAGUUAUCUAUUUUUUGGUAGGGUGUUUGUGUUUACGAGGGAGGUUGAUCCCCUAUGGUGGUUUAUGGUACUGAUCUGUUGUAUUGUCUUGGAAAAUCAGUAUAUAAGAACUUUCAGAUGAAAAAAAAAACUGAUUUACAGUGAUUUAGGGAAAAAAGUAUGCUGAAGUAAAAGAUAAGGGUAGGUUCAUUUGAAUAUGUUUUUCGUAACCAUAUGUUAAAAAUCUAAUUCCAUGUUCAUCAUUCCACCAACCAACCUAUUAUAUAUAGACUGUAUAUAUGUAUCUGUAUUCAUUAUCUGGUUUUCGAUUUGGGCAUUUCGAUUUUUGGUUCAGUUUUCAAUCCUUUUUUUUAGAUAUCUAUGAUCUUUUCGGUUAUUUAUAAAAUUCAGUUUGGUUUAUCAUUGGUUAUUUCGGUUUUCAAUUUAUUUCAGACAAUAAAAUUGGAAUCUAUAAAGUUUGUAUUUAAUUUCAUUAAUUUAAAUACUUUCUAUGGAUAAUUUGGAUUUCUUCCAGAAAAGUUAUCGGGUAAUUCAGGGUUUUUAGACAAUAUUGGGUAAUUUAGACAAUUUUAAAUAUUUUGGAUAAAAAAACAUUUGGAUAAUUCGAUUUUUUUUGGUAAUUCGGUUUAAAAGUAAAUUGUUAAGAUAUUUGGUUAUUUUAAAACUAAAUGACUUAAUUAUUUUAGGUAGAUAAACUACUAUGUUUGAAAAUUUAAGUAUUCAUUCAGUUCUAAUUUUUUUAUUUCGAAAAUAUAAGAUAUGUGCAAAUAUUUAUGAAAUUAGUUUCGAUUUCGGUUUGGUGGGUAAAUGUGUCCAUUGCCUACAUGCAUGAUAUAUAGUUAUUUUGUAAAAAUGUUAGAAAUUUGUAAAAGCAUUUUCCCUAUGCAAUCGAUUAUUCAUAGCUUAUGUUGAUUCAAUCAAUUUCAGCUUUGUUAAUCAACAAGCCGAUCAACGAAGACCUCUAUGACAUUGCAGCUAGUUUAACCAACUAUAAUUAUACUAACAUUUUAUCUCGAAAUUCAUGCUUGAUGUUACAUUAGAAAAAAACAACGAAAAGGUCCAAUUGCUAGAAGACAUAUAUCCGCAUAAUCACGACAUAGCAUCUGCCAUGGCAUCUGCAGUUGACAUGUUCCUCUUGUGAUCCUGACGCCUAAGAAAAUAAGUACAAGUGUCUUACAAAUAAAUUUAAUAAAGUGGUGACUUUGAUGAAGAAAGCAAUCAAUAGUUAUGCAAAUUGCAAAUUCCGAUAGAAAGAAUCUUCGCUUAGUAUAUUCGUCUCUGCCUCUUAUGAAAUCUCAAGAGACAUCUCUUUUAUCUUCUUUCCCACUGAACCAAAUCUAAUGCCUCUAUUUUAUUCGCAAGCAUCAACAUUACUAUUCUUUUCUUUUGGUUGAAAACAUCACUUAUAUUUAAAAAAAUUGUUCUUCAAAAUUAUUCUCCUAUUAGUUUUAAAAAAAAAAUUAUUCUCUUUGGAUUUCUUGCUGAUAGAAUAGUACUUCUGACAAAUGAAAUACAUACAGUAUGUUGCUGAUAUCAAUAAUAAUCAUAGAAAUCAAUAGUCCUGACGAGAGCGGUCCAUGAAGCUGAACUCCUACUCACCUGGUCCACGUACAUUGUUAUUUCUAAGAGUUUGCGUAUCCUAGAUCUUUCCAUCUUGAAGAUCUCAGGCUCGAUCUGGUUUAGUAUCCAGUUCUUUUUUUUUCUAUAUGCAAUAUGGGUUCUCAUGCAGCAUUACAACGAUAUAGUGUUUCAAUGUAUAAAAUAACAUGCCACUCGAUCAAAUAUACGUAUCAACAAUAAGAUACUUAUCAAUAAGAUCAUGCAUAUUUGUAAAAUUGAGGAUAAUCUCGAAGUUAUUCUCCACUUUUUUAUAUAAUACUUCUCACAUUGUAUAGGGGGGCGUCUUAUUCUCAAGGGGACAAUUUCUAUCUCCAACUUUAGUUACAGAGAGGCAAUCAUCUCAUUUCCCCAAAGUCAAACACUCGAAUCCAAAACACUCGAUUUUAAAAAAAACUGCCUAACACACUAAAUCUUGUCUCGUCUCCAUUCUCAUCAUUUUUUCUUCAUUAUUAUUGAGAACACAUAUCUACAUCAAGCCCUUCACUCCCGCUUUUAACCGAAAUUAACGAGCUCAACAUCGGACCGCAACACUCCAUGUCUUGCCUUAUCAAAGCUUUGCCUGCAUGACAACCGGUUAAAGAAACAUUAGAACGAAGACUCCAGAUCUUUGAGUCUUCAACUAUAUUGCUCCAGAAGCAUCCCAAACCAAUGAACUAAGAUGGUUCUUAAUAAUGUCGAAGAAGUAUUAAAUAGUCUCAUCAUGUGGCUGUGAGGUGAAGUCAAGAGACACUUAUAAUAGAGGGUAUAUCUGUAAUUUUAAGGUUUGUGUGUUGUGUGGUAUUACCUGGGAAUACAAGAAGGUUCCAAGGAUAGCAAUGGCAGCUCCAAGAGCAUUGACGGGCUGGACAGGAGUACGGAAGAUAAUGAUGGAGGAGACGAUGACUGAGAUACGCUUCAUGGUGUUACCAACACUAAACGUCAAGGGAGAGAUUUGGUCUAAAGACAUGUAAGACACUUGGUUGUAGAGGUGAUAGAACACACUCUGCGCAGCCACCCACCUACAAAAUUUAGUAGAAACAUGAAAAGACGGAAGGACUCUUAAUGAUUCGGAUGAAAUACGAGAGUCUUGAGAGAUAAAGACAAGAACUUGAUAAAUGGGUCUUUUCACAACGCAUUAUAGGAACAGGACAAAACGUCAAACAUACACUUUGAGUUUAAAAGGGUUCCUAAGAGUUGUUUAGAGGGAAGUUACCCGACAAACUGAGGUCCGAUGUCGGAGAGAGCCUUCUGCCAGCCAUCAGCCCACAUCUGAGGUCCUUCAACCGCAAAUGCAAAGGGCGUGAGGAUCAAGAGUGAUAGCAUUGAGAGACAUGCGUAGUAGUUCAUUCCGCUCACAGACUUUCCCUUCAUCCCCUUCUUCGAGAAGAUGUUGCGGAAGACGAAUGCCAAGUUCGAUAUCAUCGCUCCCAUGAAACCUGAGAGUAUAAACCAUUUCAAUCAUAACCAACAACAAUUACAAAGACAAAACAUAACAUGUGAGUGUCUAAGAAUAUAUAUAUUACCAGUCAUGUUGAAGUUAAGCUCAGUAAGAGCAGAGAGAGCACAACCACCAAUAAUCGGAAUGAGGGAGAGGUAAACCGAAGCAGGGAAGGUUUCACCCAAAAGGAACCUCGAGACAAGAACGCUAAACGCCGGCUCACCACUCUUGAUGAUGUGUGUGAAUGAAACCGCAACCUUUGACAUACUCACCGUUGCAGCCACAUGACCAAUUGUAUGCGCCACAGCAACCUUAAACCAAUCCAAAAAAAAAACACUUUCAAUACAACAAAACACCAAAAAAAAAUUAAUACUUUCACCUAUGAAAUUAACACAAUAAUAUGAACAAACACAGCCAAAAAGACACAUCGUUUUCUACUCUCUCUCUCUCUCACCCAGGAAGCAUACAAAACUAUGCAUAUCGUUCAGGUAAAAAACAAAACAAGAAAUAUUCAUGCAAGAUCUAUAAAUAAUUUUUUUAAAAACUGCUAUUUUUAGAAAGUUUUCAUUUUAUAGAGAAAUAUUGUAGAUUUGAGUUUGUUAUUUAGAAAUUUGAAUUACAAGAAUAUUUUUGGAUUGUUGAGUAUUCUUUCAGAGUUUUUCAUCAAUAGGUUGUAUUUUUAAAUAAUUUUCUUAAAAACUGCUAUUUUUGGAAAGUGUUUAUUUUUUAGAGAAAUAUUGUAGAUUUGAGUUUGUGGUUUAGAAGUUAAGAUCAAAAGAUUAUUUGUGGAUAGUUGAGUAUUCUUUCAGAUUUUUUCAUCAAUAUGUUGUAUUUUUAUUUUUUUUAGAGAAAUAUUUUAAAUUUGGGUUUACGGUAUAGAAAUUAAGAUAACAAGAAUAUUUUUGGAUAGUUGAGUAUUCUUUCAGAUUUUUUCAUCAAUAGGUUGUAU
rnacentral:lncRNA from 1 species